UGACUGUUAUGUAUUCCAUAUGGACUCCUUGAAGUCUACUCAAAAGUGGCACUUUACAAAAUGCAGCAACCUGGUUGUUGGCAGGUAUGUAAGGCAUCUGAAGAUGGAAACCCCACACUUUUCAUCAUGCAAUGGAGAUUCCAAAACAGAAAUGACGUAAUAACAGCAGAGGGCAGAUACAGUUUGAAGAUGAGUGCUAACAGCUUUGCCAGAAGCAAGAUUUAGAGAAGGUGCAGAGUUUCCCAUGCAUCCAUCCCAUUGAAAAAGUUUUGACUACUAGGA